rnacentral:rRNA from 1 species
GUGCCAGCCGCCGCGGUAAUACGGAAGGUCCGGGCGUUAUCCGGAUUUAUUGGGUUUAAAGGGAGCGCAGGCUGAUUGCUAAGCGUGACGUGAAAUGUAGCCGCUCAACGGCUGAACUGCGUCGCGAACUGGCAGUCUUGAGUGAGUACGACGUCAGCGGAAUUCGUGGUGUAGCGGUGAAAUGCUUAGAUAUCACGAAGAACCCCGAUUGCGAAGGCAGCUGACGAGUCCUUUACUGACGCUAAAGCUCGAAGGUGCGGGUAUCGAACAGGAUUAGAUACCCUGGUAGUCCGCACGGUAAACGAUGGAUGCCCGCUGUUGGCGAUAUACAGUCAGCGGCCAAGCGAAAGCGUUAAGCAUCCCACCUGGGGAGUACGCCGGCAACGGUGAAACUCAAAGGAAUUGACGGGGGCCCGCACAAGCGGAGGAACAUGUGGUUUAAUUCGAUGAUACGCGAGGAACCUUACCCGGGCUUGAACUGCAGCAGAACGAUUCAGAGAUGAUGAGGCCCUUCGGGGCUGCUGUGGAGGUGCUGCAUGGUUGUCGUCAGCUCGUGCCGUGAGGUGUCGGCUUAAGUGCCAUAACGAGCGCAACCCUUGUCUGUAGUUGCCAUCAGGUGAUGCUGGGCACUCUGCGGAUACUGCCACCGUAAGGUGUGAGGAAGGUGGGGAUGACGUCAAAUCAGCACGGCCCUUACGUCCGGGGCUACACACGUGUUACAAUGGGUAGUACAGAGAGUCGGUGCAUGGCAAUGUGCAUCCAAUCCUUAAAGCUAUCCUCAGUUCGGAUUGGGGUCUGCAACCCGACCCCAUGAAGCUGGAUUCGCUAGUAAUCGCGCAUCAGCCAUGGCGCGGUGAAUACGUUCCCGGGCCUUGUACACACCGCCCGU